rnacentral:rRNA from 1 species
CAUCACCUCUAGCAUCACAAGUAUUAGAGGCACUGCCUGCCCAGUGACUAACGUUAAACGGCCGCGGUAUCCUGACCGUGCAAAGGUAGCAUAAUCAUUUGUUCCUUAAUUAGGGACUGGAAUGAACGGCUUGACGAGGGUUUAACUGUCUCCUAUUUCCAAUCAGUGAAAUUGACCUCCCCGUGAAGAGGCGGGGAUUACAAAAUAAGACGAGAAGACCCUAUGGAGCUUUAAUUUACUAGUUUAAUCCCAACAACAAACAACCUAUUGGCUUAACACACAAAAAUAUAAACUAGUAAUUUUGGUUGGGGUGACCUCGGAGCAUAAAAAAACCUCCGAAUGAUUUUAACCAAGACACACAAGUCUAAGUAACCAAAUAUCUUAUUGACCCAAAUUCCUUUUUGAUCAACGGACCAAGUUACCCUAGGGAUAACAGCGCAAUCCUAUUCAAGAGUCCAUAUCGACAAUUAGGGUUUACGACCUCGAUGUUGGAUCAGGACAUCCCAAUGGUGCAGAAGCUAUUAAUGGUUCGUUUGUUCAACGAUUAAAGUCCUACGUGAUCA